CAAAUCAAUACAACACAUGUCUCGUAUAUAAUUUUUUUUAGAACUUAACCAUGGUUAUGUAACAUGCAUUUUCACUCUGAUUUGUUGAUUCUUCGUGUUGAAAUGUUAGUUAGGUGUAAACACCAGAUGGGAAUAAGUAUUGUAUGUCAAAGUGUUGUUUUUUUGGGUUGGUCUGUGAAAUGGGGGAUCUUAAAACUUGUAGGUGUCACUUGGACAUGAGUGUAACUGUGGAAGUUAAUUUUCUAGAUAUGGUACAGUGAUCUGCCGUUAGUAAUAGAAUAAACGAAACGAGUACAUUCACUGAUCUACAGCUUAAUGAUAAAUGACAGGAUUUUAGUCUGAACCUCCAUAAUAUACAACUACUUUUACUUCUUAUUGUGAUUUCUAAGUAACUAAAGUUUUUGGAAGUUCCUUACUUGAAUAAACAGGUUUCUUUUUCUUAUUUCAUACCUUUGUUCCAAGAAUAAUGUCACUACUAUUGUUUGGAGAACCAAAACAUUUUUUUCUUAAAGGUAACUAAUAUAAUAUUUGACCUAAGAGGUGCAUAUUACCUACUCCCUCCGUCCCAUUUUAUGUGGCAACAUUUGACCGGGCACGGAGUUUAAGAAAUAAAUGAAGACUUUGAAAUGUUUACCAAAUUGCCCUUUUAAAAAGUAGACUCAAUUUCUCUCUCCUCAUAAAUGUAUUGGAGUAUUAUUUUAAGAUUAAGUGGGACCAACAAGGAUAAAAAAGGAAUUGUACCUUUAAAUACUUUCCAUAUAAGGAAAUGUGACAUUCUUUUUGGGACUGACCAAAAAGGAAAUGUUGCCACAUAAAAUGGGACAGAGGGAGUAGUACCUUAUUUUGAAUAUAAGUCUGACCCUGAAAGUUGUCUUUUGUAUACCAUUCAAAUCUAUUUAGUAAUUUAGGAAUUUAGAUUGUGAAAUUAAGUACUCAUUGGUGUAGGAGUACAAAAUUCUUAAUAUUUUGAAAACAUUGAAUUGAUUAAAUUCAAUAAGUAUUUUAUAGGAAUUAGAUUUCAUUUUUAAUAGUGUACUAAAAUCAAUCCUGAC
rnacentral:lncRNA from 1 species